rnacentral:rRNA from 1 species
CAGGAUGAGCGCUAGCUACAGGCUUAACACAUGCAAGUCGAGGGGCAGCAUUGGAGUAGCAAUACUCAGAUGGCGACCGGCGCACGGGUGAGUAACACGUAUCCAACCUGCCGCUUACUCGGGGAUAGCCUUUCGAAAGAAAGAUUAAUACCCGAUGGUAUAAAGAGUUCGCAUGUUCUCUUUAUUAAAGAAUUUCGGUAAGCGAUGGGGAUGCGUUCCAUUAGAUAGUUGGCGGGGUAACGGCCCACCAAGUCUACGAUGGAUAGGGGUUCUGAGAGGAAGGUCCCCCACAUUGGAACUGAGACACGGUCCAAACUCCUACGGGAGGCAGCAGUGAGGAAUAUUGGUCAAUGGACGAGAGUCUGAACCAGCCAAGUAGCGUGAAGGAUGACUGCCCUAUGGGUUGUAAACUUCUUUUAUAAGGGAAUAAAGUGAGGGACGUGUCCCUUUUUGUAUGUACCUUAUGAAUAAGGAUCGGCUAACUCCGUGCCAGCAGCAGC